rnacentral:rRNA from 1 species
AUUGAACGCUGGCGGCAGGCCUAACACAUGCAAGUCGGACGGUAGCACAGAGAGCUUGCUCUUGGGUGACGAGUGGCGGACGGGUGAGUAAUGUCUGGGGAUCUGCCCGAUAGAGGGGGAUAACCACUGGAAACGGUGGCUAAUACCGCAUAACGUCGCAAGACCAAAGAGGGGGACCUUCGGGCCUCUCACUAUCGGAUGAACCCAGAUGGGAUUAGCUAGUAGGCGGGGUAAUGGCCCACCUAGGCGACGAUCCCUAGCUGGUCUGAGAGGAUAGCCGGGCACACGGGAACUGGGACACGGUCCAGACUCCUACGGGAGACAGCAGUGGGGAAUAUUGCACAAUGGGCGCAAGCCUGAUGCUGCCAUGCCGCGUGUAUGAAGAAGGCCUUCGGGUUGUAAAGUACUUUCAGCGGGGAGGAAGGCGGUGCGGUUAAUAACCGCGCCGAUUGACGUUACCCGCAGAAGAAGCACCGGCUAACUCCGUGCCAGCAGCCGCAGUAA